UACAGAGGGGGCAGGCGUUGUUCGGAAUUACUGGGCGUAAAGGGCGCGUAGGCGGCCUUCUAAGUCGAACGUGAAAUCCCCGGGCUCAACCCGGGAACUGCGUCCGAUACUGGAAGGCUUGAAUCCGGGAGAGGGAUGCGGAAUUCCCGGUGUAGCGGUGAAAUGCGCAGAUAUCGGGAGGAACACCGGUGGCGAAGGCGGUUCUCUGGGCCUGUACUGACGCUGAGGAGCGAAAGCGUGGGGAGCGAACAGG
rnacentral:rRNA from 1 species